rnacentral:rRNA from 1 species
CGAGGUGGAGCAAAUCUCAAAAAGACCGUCCCAGUUCGGAUCGCAGGCUGCAACCCGCCUGCGUGAAGUUGGAAUCGCUAGUAAUCGCGGAUCAGCAUGCCGCGGUGAAUACGUUCCCGGGCCUUGUACACACCGCCCGUCACACCAUGAGAGUCGGGAACACCCGAAGUCCGUAGCCUAACCGCAAGGGGGGCGCGGCCGAAGGUGGGUUCGAUAAUUGGGGUGAAGUCGUAACAAGGUACC